AGAACGAACGCUGGCGGCACGCCUAACACAUGCAAGUCGAGCGCCCAGCAAUGGGAGCGGCGGACGGGUGAGGAACACGUGGGAACAUGCCUUUCGGUUCGGCACAACUGCGGGAAACUGCAGCUAAUUCCGGAUACGCCCUUACGGGGAAAGAUUUAUCGCCGAAAGAUUGGCCCGCGUCUGAUUAGCUAGUUGGUGAGGUAAUGGCUCACCAAGGCUUCGAUCAGUAGCUGGUUUGAGAGAACGACCAGCCACACUGGGACUGAGACACGGCCCAGACUCCUACGGGAGGCAGCAGUGGGAAUCUUGGACAAUGGAGGAAACUCUGAUCCAGCGAUGCCGCGUGAGUGAUGAAGGCCUUCGGGUUGUAAAACUCUUUUACCAGGAAGAUAAUGACUGUACCUGGAGAAUAAGCCCGGCUAACUUCGACGCCAGCAGCCGC
rnacentral:rRNA from 1 species